GGAAUUGUUCGCAAUGGGCGCAAGCCUGACGACGCAACGCCGCGUGGAGGAUGAAGAUCUUCGGGUCGUAAACUCCUUUCGACCGAGAUGAAUUUCUGACGACCUAACACGUCGUCAGGGUGACAGUACCGGGAGAAGCAGCCCCGGCCACCUCCGUUCCAGCAGCCGCGGUAAUACGGGGGGGGCAAGCGUUGUUCGGAAUUACUGGGCGUAAAGGGUUCGUAGGUGGCCGACUAAGUCAGACGUGAAAUCCCUCAGCUUAACUGGGGAACUGCGUCUGAGACUGGACGGCUUGAGGACAGGAGAGGAACGCGGAAUUCCAGGUGUAGCGGUGAAAUGCGUAGAUAUCUGGAGGAACACCGGUGGCGAAGGCGGCGUUCUGGACUGUUUCUGACACUGAGGAACGAAAGCCAGGGGAGCAAA
rnacentral:rRNA from 1 species